AUGCUCUGGUUUCUCUUCAUCAUAUGAGCUAAUCUUUCGUCUUUUACUAAAGAUUACCGUGGAGAGGAACAUUACAAUGAGCCUAUAAAUGAGCAGGAGUUUAUUUUGCGCUAUUUGAAGUUUGA
rnacentral:snRNA from 1 species